UAGGGAAUAUUGGGCAAUGGGUGGAAGCCUGACCCAGCCAUGCCGCGUGCCGGAAGACGGCCCUACGGGUUGUAAACGGCUUUUCUACUAGAACAAAGAUAAGGAUGCGUCCUUAGUUGAGGGUAUAGUAGGAAUAAGCACCGGCUAACUCCGUGCCCGCAGCCGCGGUAAUACGGAGGGUGCAAGCGUUGUCCGGAUUUAUUGGGUUUAAAGGGUACGUAGGCGGGCUGCUAAGUCUGAGGUGAAAGCUCCUAGCUCAACUAGGAAACUGCCUUGGAUACUGGUAGUCUUGAGUACAGUAGAGGUGGGCGGAAUUCAUGGUGUAGCGGUGAAAUGCAUAGAUACCAUGAGGAACACCGAUAGGGAAGCCAGCUCACUGGACUGUCACUGACGCUGAGGUACGAAAGCGUGGGGGGCGAACAGGAUUAGAUACCCCUGUAGUCC
rnacentral:rRNA from 1 species